UUAUGGCAUGCAAAUUGUAGACUACGAUAGGAAAUUGGGAAAUUGAAUUGGCACAAUUUCAUUAAUACUAAUUCAAAAAUCAGAAUUCAAAGAGCUAAGACUUCAAAUUCACAAAAGUAGAAACGACAAAUUUAAAGUACUGUAUCAGUCAAGAAGGACAAAGGCUACAAAACCUUGAAAGUCAAAAACACAUGUUUAAGGAGAUUAUGUGAAGGAAAAGUCUUCGUUCUUACUGG
rnacentral:lncRNA from 1 species